AAAGGAAUAGACGGGGGCCCGCACAAGCGGCGGAGCAUGCGGAUUAAUUCGAUGCAACGCGAAGAACCUUACCAAGGCUUGACAUACACCGGACCGCGCUGGAGACAGCGUUUCCCUUCGGGGCUGGUGUACAGGUGGUGCAUGGUUGUCGUCAGCUCGUGUCGUGAGAUGUUGGGUUAAGUCCCGCAACGAGCGCAACCCUUAUCCUAUGUUGCCAGCACGUGAUGGUGGGGACUCAUGGGAGACUGCCGGGGUCAACUCGGAGGAAGGUGGGGAUGACGUCAAAUCAUCAUGCCCCUUAUGUCUUGGGCUUCACGCAUGCUACAAUGGCCGGUACAGUGGGUUGCGAUGCCGUGAGGUGGAGCUAAUCCCUAAAAGCCGGUCUCAGUUCGGAUCGAAGUCUGCAACUCGACUUCGUGAAGUUGGAGUCGCUAGUAAUCGCAGAUCAGCAAUGCUGCGGUGAAUACGUUCCCGGGCCUUGUACACACCGCCCGU
rnacentral:rRNA from 1 species